ensembl:processed_transcript
UAUUUCACAGGGUUGAGAAGGUUAUCUUCUAUCUGGAGGGCCAUCAAACAGAGCUCAAAGAGGGUCUCUGCUGGUCGAUAGGGGAAGUGCUGCAGACGACAGUCAAACUCUUGCAAAGCUUUCCAUUCAUUGCAGUGAUGCUGUUCGUCUCUGUGGCCUUUUUCGAAGAAUGAUCAGAUUCAUCACUAUGGAGUCAUUAAAGGAUUUGCAUUGAAUCAGACACAGCCGCAACAGGUGGAGGGCCAUCAGAGAGGCGAACUCACAAUACUGAGAAUGAAUAAGCAGACAGUGAGAUCAGCACACGUCACAGAGGCUGCUGCAGAAAUACUGAAAAGCAUGAUCGAAACAGAGACUAAAUGUUUCCACCCUGAGCAAUGCUCGCUUACGGCAUUGCUUGACUUUUCAGCGCUUGCCUUCCCUCAUGUGAGUGUUCAGCAAAGUGACAUGGAAUUUGAUUGGUCCUUGGGGACAAGAAAUG